rnacentral:rRNA from 1 species
GCUGAACGCUGGCGGCGUGCUUAACACAUGCAAGUCGAACGAUGAAGCCCAGCUUGUUGGGUGGAUUAGUGGCGAACGGGUGAGUAACACGUGAGUAACCUGCCCUUAACUCUGGGAUAAGCCUGGGAAACUGGGUCUAAUACCGGAUAGGAGCGUCCACCGCAUGGUGGGUGUUGGAAAGAUUUAUCGGUUUUGGAUGGACUCGCGGCCUAUCAGCUUGUUGGUGAGGUAAUGGCUCACCAAGGCGACGACGGGUAGCCGGCCUGAGAGGGUGACCGGCCACACUGGGACUGAGACACGGCCCAGACUCCUACGGGAGGCAGCAGUGGGGAAUAUUGCACAAUGGGCGCAAGCCUGAUGCAGCGACGCCGCGUGAGGGAUGACGGCCUUCGGGUUGUAAACCUCUUUCAGUAGGGAAGAAGCGAAAGUGACGGUACCUGCAGAAGAAGCACCGGCUAACUACGUG